rnacentral:rRNA from 1 species
UACGUAGGUGGCAAGCGUUGUCCGGAAUUAUUGGGCGUAAAGCGCGCGCAGGCGGUCCUUUAAGUCUGAUGUGAAAGCCCACGGCUCAACCUCGAGAUGUCGGCGGAAACCGUCUGGCUAGAGUCCGGAAGAGGAGAGUGGAAUUCCUGGUGUAGCGGUGAAAUGCGCAGAUAUCAGGAAGAACACCUAUGGCGAAGGCAGCUCUCUGGGACGG